rnacentral:rRNA from 1 species
UACGGAGGGUGCGAGCGUUACCCGGAUUUACUGGGUGGAAAGGGCGUGUAGGCGGUCUCUCAAGUCCGAUGCUCAAGACCGAGGCUCAACCUCGGGAGUGCGUUGGAUACUGUGAGGCUAGACGGUCGGAGAGGGCAGCGGAAUUCUCGGAGUAGCGGUUAAAUGCGCAGAUACCGAGAGGUACGCCAAUAGCGAAGGCAGCUGCCUGGACGAUUUGUGACGCUGGGGCGCGAAAGCGUUGGGAGCAAACCGG